rnacentral:rRNA from 1 species
AGUGAACGCUGGCGGUAGGCCUAACACAUGCAAGUCGAACGGCAGCACAGUAAGAGCUUGCUCUUAUGGGUGGCGAGUGGCGGACGGGUGAGGAAUACAUCGGAAUCUACCUUUUCGUGGGGGAUAACGUAGGGAAACUUACGCUAAUACCGCAUACGACCUUCGGGUGAAAGCAGGGGACCUUCGGGCCUUGCGCGGAUAGAUGAGCCGAUGUCGGAUUAGCUAGUUGGCGGGGUAAAGGCCCACCAAGGCGACGAUCCGUAGCUGGUCUGAGAGGAUGAUCAGCCACACUGGAACUGAGACACGGUCCGGACUCCUACGGGAGGCAGCAGUGGGGAAUAUUGGACAAUGGGCGCAAGCCUGAUCCAGCCAUACCGCGUGGGUGAAGAAGGCCUUCGGGUUGUAAAGCCCUUUUGUUGGGAAAGAAAUCCAGCCGGCUAAUACCUGGUUGGGAUGACGGUACCCAAAGAAUAAGCACCGGCUAAUUUCGUGCCAGCAGCCGCGGUAAUACGAAGGGUGCAAGCGUUACUCGGAAUUACUGGGCGUAAAGCGUGCGUAGGUGGUUGUUUAAGUCUGUUGUGAAAGCCCUGGGCUCAACCUGGGAAUUGCAGUGGAUACUGGGCGACUAGAGUGUGGUAGAGGGUAGUGGAAUUCCCGGU